AGAGCGAACGCUGGCGGCAGGCUUAACACAUGCAAGUCGAGCGGGCGUAGCAAUACGUCAGCGGCAGACGGGUGAGUAACGCGUGGGAACGUACCUUUUGGUUCGGAACAACACAGGGAAACUUGUGCUAAUACCGGAUAAGCCCUUACGGGGAAAGAUUUAUCGCCGAAAGAUCGGCCCGCGUCUGAUUAGCUAGUUGGUGAGGUAACGGCUCACCAAGGCGACGAUCAGUAGCUGGUCUGAGAGGAUGAUCAGCCACAUUGGGACUGAGACACGGCCCAAACUCCUACGGGAGGCAGCAGUGGGGAAUAUUGGACAAUGGGCGCAAGCCUGAUCCAGCCAUGCCGCGUGAGUGAUGAAGGCCCUAGGGUUGUAAAGCUCUUUUAACGGGGAAGAUAAUGACGGUACCGUAGAAUAAGCCCCGGCUAACUUCGUGCCAGCAGCCGC
rnacentral:rRNA from 1 species